rnacentral:rRNA from 1 species
GUGGCGGACGGGUGAGUAAUGUCUGGGAAACUGCCUGAUGGAGGGGGAUAACUACUGGAAACGGUAGCUAAUACCGCAUAACGUCGCAAGACCAAAGAGGGGGACCUUCGGGCCUCUUGCCAUCGGAUGUGCCCAGAUGGGAUUAGCUUGUUGGUGGGGUAACGGCUCACCAAGGCGACGAUCCCUAGCUGGUCUGAGAGGAUGACCAGCCACACUGGAACUGAGACACGGUCCAGACUCCUACGGGAGGCAGCAGUGGGGAAUAUUGCACAAUGGGCGCAAGCCUGAUGCAGCCAUGCCGCGUGUAUGAAGAAGGCCUUCGGGUUGUAAAGUACUUUCAGCGGGGAGGAAGGGAGUAAAGUUAAUACCUUUGCUCAUUGACGUUACCCGCAGAAGAAGCACCGGCUAACUCCGUGCCAGCAGCCGCGGUAAUACGGAGGGUGCAAGCGUUAAUCGGAAUUACUGGGCGUAAAGCGCACGCAGGCGGUUUGUUAAGUCAGAUGUGAAAUCCCCGGGCUCAACCUGGGAACUGCAUCUGAUACUGGCAAGCUUGAGUCUCGUAGAGGGGGGUAGAAUUCCAGGUGUAGCGGUGAAAUGCGUAGAGAUCUGGAGGAAUACCGGUGGCGAAGGCGGCCCCCUGGACGAAGACUGACGCUCAGGUGCGAAAGCGUGGGGAGCAAACAGGAUU